GGUUUUAUAGUUUAUGAAAAUAUUAAAGUGCAAAUUUAAAGAUGUGGAAACACUAGAACCU
rnacentral:tRNA from 1 species